AUUGAACGCUGGCGGCAGGCCUAACACAUGCAAGUCGAACGGUAACAGGAAGCAGCUUGCUGCUUUGCUGACGAGUGGCGGACGGGUGAGUAAUGUCUGGGAAACUGCCCGAUGGAGGGGGAUAACUACUGGAAACGGUAGCUAAUACCGCAUAACGUCGCAAGACCAAAGAGGGGGACCUUAGGGCCCCUUGCCAUCGGAUGUGCCCAGAUGGGAUUAGCUAGUAGGUGGGGUAACGGCUCACCUAGGCGACGAUCCCUAGCUGGUCUGAGAGGGUGACGGGCCACAUUGGAAGUGAUCCACGGUCGAGCCUCCUACGGGGGGCGCCAGGGGGGAAUUUUGCAGAAGGGGGGCAAGCCUUAUGCACCUGUGCGGGGUGUAUGAAGAAGCCCUUCUGUUUGUAGAGUCCUUUGAGGGGGGGGGAAGGGAAAAAAGUUAAUCCCUUCCCUCUUUGACGUUCCCCGAAGAAAAAGCCCCGCCUAACUCCGUC
rnacentral:rRNA from 1 species